GACGAACGCUGGCGGCGUGCUUAACACAUGCAAGUCGAACGGAAAGGCCCUGCUUUUGUGGGGUGCUCGAGUGGCGAACGGGUGAGUAACACGUGAGUAACCUGCCCUUGACUUUGGGAUAACUUCAGGAAACUGGGGCUAAUACCGGAUAGGAGCUCCUGCUGCAUGGUGGGGGUUGGAAAGUUUCGGCGGAUGGGGAUGGACUCGCGGCUUAUCAGCUUGUUGGUGGGGUAGUGGCUUACCAAGGCUUUGACGGGUAGCCGGCCUGAGAGGGUGACCGGCCACAUUGGGACUGCGAUACGGCCCAGACUCCUACGGGAGGCAGCAGUGGGGAAUAUUGCCCAAUGGGCGGAAGCCUGAUGCAGCAACGCCGCGUGCGUGAUGACGGCCUUCGGGUGGUAAACCGCUUUCGCCUGUGACGAAGCGUGAGUGACGGUAAUGGGUAAAGAAGCACCGGCUAACUACGUG
rnacentral:rRNA from 1 species